CCCUUAGAUGUUCUGGGCCGCACGCGCGCUACACUGAUGCACUCAACGAGUCUCCACCUUGACCGAAAGGUCCGGGAAACCUUCGAACUUGCAUCGUGAUGGGGAUAGAUUAUUGCAACUAUUAAUCUUCAACGAGGAAUACCUAGUAGGCGCAUGUCAUCAGCGUGCGUCGAUUACGUCCCUGCCCUUUGUACACACCGCCCGUCGCUCCUACCGAUUGAAUGGUCCGGUGAAAUCUCGGGACGGCGGCUUGGUCGCUUGCGUCCGACUGCUGAAACUUGAUUAAACCAUAUCAUUUAGAGGAAGGUGAAGUCGUAACA
rnacentral:rRNA from 1 species